rnacentral:rRNA from 1 species
GAUGAACGCUGGCGGCGUGCCUAAUACAUGCAAGUCGAGCGAACAGACGAGGAUCUUGCUCCUCUGACGUUAGCGGCGGACGGGUGAGUAACACGUGGAUAACCUACCUAUAAGACUGGGAUAACUUCGGGAAACCGGAGCUAAUACCGGAUAAUAUAUUUAACCUCAUGGUUCAAUAGUGAAAGACGGUUUUGCUGUCACUUAUAGAUGGAUCCGCGCCGCAUUAGCUAGUUGGUAAGGUAACGGCUUACCAAGGCAACGAUGCGUAGCCGACCUGAGAGGGUGAUCGGCCACCCUGGAACUGAGACACGGUCCAGACUCCUACGGGAGGCAGCAGUAGGGAAUCUUCCGCAAUGGGCGAAAGCUUGACGGAGCAACGCCGGGGGAGUGAUGAAGGUCUUCGGAUCGUAAAACUCUGUUAGUAGGGAAGAACAAAUGUGUAAGUAACUAUGCACGUCUUGACGGUACCUAAUCAGAAAGCCACGGCUAACUACGUG